AGACCCGAAACCCGGUGAUCUAGCCAUGGGCAGGUUGAAGGUUGGGUAACACUAACUGGAGGACCGAACCGACUAAUGUUGAAAAAUUAGCGGAUGACCUGUGGCUGGGGGUGAAAGGCCAAUCAAACCGGGAGAUAGCUGGUUCUCCCCGAAAGCUAUUUAGGUAGCGCCUCGUGAAUUCAUCUCCGGGGGUAGAGCACUGUUUCGGCUAGGGGGCCAUCCCGGCUUACCAACCCGAUGCAAACUGCGAAUACCGGAGAAUGUUAUCACGGGAGACACACGGCGGGUGCUAACGUCCGUCGUGAAGAGGGAAACAACCCAGACCGCCAGCUAAGGUCCCAAAGUCAUGGUUAAGUGGGAAACGAUGUGGGAAGGCCCAGACAGCCAGGAUGUUGGCUUAGAAGCAGCCAUCAUUUAAAGAAAGCGUAAUAGCUCACUGGUCGAGUCGGCCUGCGCGGAAGAUGUAACGGGGCUAAACCAUGCACCGAAGCUGCGGCAGCGACGCUGAUGCGUUGUUGGGUAGGGGAGCGUUCUGUAAGCCUGCGAAGGUGGCCUGUGAGGGUUGCUGGAGGUAUCAGAAGUGCGAAUGCUGACAUAAGUAACGAUAAAGCGGGUGAAAAGCCCGCUCGCCGGAAGACCAAGGGUUCCUGUCCAACGUUAAUCGG
rnacentral:rRNA from 1 species